CUUGCCUACGGGACGCAGCAGUGGGGAAUAUUGGGCAAUGGGCGCAAGCCUGACCCAGCAACGCCGCGUGAAGGAAGAAGGCUUUCGGGUUGUAAACUUCUUUUGACAGGGAAGAGUAGAAGACGGUACCUGUCGAAUAAGCCACGGCUAACUACGUGCCAGCAGCCGCGGGAAUACGUAGGUGGCAAGCGUUGUCCGGCUUUACUGGGUGUAAAGGGCGUGUAGCGGGGUUGACAAGUCAGAUGUGAAAUCCUGCGGCUUAACCGCAGAACUGCAUUUGAAACUGUUGAUCUUGAGUGCUGGAG
rnacentral:rRNA from 1 species